rnacentral:rRNA from 1 species
UGGGGAAUAUUGCACAAUGGGCGCAAGCCUGAUGCAGCCAUGCCGCGUGUGUGAAGAAGGCCUUCGGGUUGUAAAGCACUUUCAGCGAGGAGGAAGGUGGUGAGCUUAAUACGCUCAUCAAUUGACGUUACUCGCAGAAGAAGCACCGGCUAACUCCGUGCCAGCAGCCGCGGUAAUACGGAGGGUGCAAGCGUUAAUCGGAAUUACUGGGCGUAAAGCGCACGCAGGCGGUUUGUUAAGUCAGAUGUGAAAUCCCCGGGCUCAACCUGGGAACUGCAUUUGAAACUGGCAAGCUAGAGUCUCGUAGAGGGGGGUAGAAUUCCAGGUGUAGCGGUGAAAUGCGUAGAGAUCUGGAGGGAUACCGGUGGCGAAGGCGGCCCCCCUGGACGAAGACUGACGCUCAGGUGCGAAAGCGUGGGGCAGCAAACAGGAUUAGAUACCCUGGUAGUCCAGCGCUGUAAACGAUGUCGAUUUGGAGGUUGUGCCCUUGAGGCGUGGCUUCCGGAGCUAACGCGUUAAAUCGACCGCCUGGGGAGUACGGCCGCAAGGUUAAAACUCAAAUGAAUUGAC